rnacentral:lncRNA from 10 species
GCUCACUAGGACGAUGGGUUCUAAAUUUAGCACCAAACUCUGGGAAACUGGUGCAUUUGCCCCCACUGCCUGCGGCAAAGCAGGCUGCGAGGGCUCUGCUUCAUUCCUCCCACUCCACCUGGGCUGUCCUGCAGCCCGGGAGUCCCGCUGACUCACCCGGAGCUGCCAGGGUGGCAGGAAGCACACCUUACCCACCUCCUCUGAAAGGCUGCUGUUCAGCUGGGGGAAGUGGGUACAGGCAUGAGCCACUGUGCCUGGCCUCUCCUACUGUUUCUAA